GGGGGUGACCAGGUCUCGACAGGGCAUGUCGGAACUUCGGUUGCGUGCCGGGGAUGAUCGUUGGCCCCGUAAAAUAUCGAUCAAAAACUAACUGCGAACGAUAACUUCGCCUACGCGGCCUAAAGAAACGGCCCCGUCGCUGAAGCACCGAUGUCUGCUGAGUGUGGAAGCGUCGAUUAGCAGAUCCUGCUGUGAACCGGACCCUCGGGAACACAUGCUUGUACUAUCAUGAAGGUAGGUGUAUGAAAGGCCCGCCGAUCGGCUGAUCCUACACGAGACAAUAGGUCGGAUACGCACGUAGACAUCGCUGUGAAGCUGUCUUGGACGCGGGUUCAACUCCCGCCACCUCCACCA
rnacentral:tmRNA from 1 species